GUGGGGAAUAUUGCACAAUGGGGGAAACCCUGAUGCAGCGACGCCGCGUGAGUGAAGAAGUAUUUCGGUAUGUAAAGCUCUAUCAGCAGGGAAGAAAGUGACGGUACCUGAGUAAGAAGCCCCGGCUAACUACGUGCCAGCAGCCGCGGUAAUACGUAGGGGGCAAGCGUUAUCCGGAUUUACUGGGUGUAAAGGGAGCGUAGACGGCAGUGCAAGUCUGAAGUGAAAGCCCCGGGCUUAACCCGGGAACUGCUUUGGAAACUGUACGGCUGGAGUGCUGGAGAGGUAAGCGGAAUUCCUAGUGUAGCGGUGAAAUGCGUAGAUAUUAGGAGGAACACCAGUGGCGAAGGCGGCUUACUGGACAGUAACUGACGUUGAGGCUCGAAAGCGUGGGGAGCAAACAGG
rnacentral:rRNA from 1 species